rnacentral:lncRNA from 1 species
ACAAUCGGAUGAAAAAAAUACGAAAAUCUGGGUCCACCGUCAACCCCGACGGCACCCGACGGUCCAACACAGUCUUACUUUACUGUAAUAACACACUCAGCAACUCAGCGCGAGCAUAAACUCAACCUACACUUAUCUGAGUAUCCACCUCGCACUAACAGCGGUGAUACAGAAAUCUAAGUCCACCGUCAACCCUGACGGCACCCGACAGUCCAAACGUUACUCUACAACAAGCUCGGCCCCUCGGCACGA